UUUGUUGGUUUUUUUCCCCUCUAGCUAUUUCCUCUUAAUUCAAUUAUUAUUGUGAUAUACAAAGUGUGUAUCCCUGUUUUGCUAGGGGUGAUAAGCUUCCCUUUGCAGCUCUUUUGUAGUUAAACCAUCAAUUAUUUGAUAUAUAAUGGUGUUACGGAAUUUUGAUGGGUAGGAUUAGUGUCCAACCGUACUGACCUGUGCUUCUUUUAAAAUCUCAUUAGGCUGUAUUGACGAGUGUAAGACAUUUUCCAUCUUGUGUAUCUUGAGUUUUAAGUACUAUUAAGGUAAUAACCCUUCAGUAGGGAUAGAAUGACCGUCUUUCUCACCACAUAAGCAGUGCAUGUUAUCUUUAACAGCAAGUUAGUACUUCACUGUAAACUGACUAAUUUAUACAGCUGUGAUCUUUAUAGUCCUUGUGAAUGGUUUAAAAAAAAAAUAAUAAUAAUAAUAAUUUCACAUAAUGAAUUCAAAUCUAAAAUCACUGGCUGCUGAGCUUGUCCUUUUUCUUCCCUGAGUGCUGCCAUUUCAUGUGAUCUUUAGGCUAAAGCACUAUUUAACUCUGAAGAUCACUCCUCUCUAGUCCUACUGCUCAAACUGUGUUGCAUGGUAUUUGGUGCUGUGAGACUGAUUCUUGCAGCUAGAGAAUCUCCAUCUAUUUAUGAAAACCACUGACCACGGCACCGACUUGAAAACCUAUUAGGACAAGGUAAACCGUGUGAUCCUCAUUAGGUAAGCAGUGUUUGAUAGAAAAAACACAUGAAAUUGUUCCUUUAAGGGAGAGAAGGGUAUUAGUUGGUACAUUUAGAUUUCAGUGACAGAUUUUCUCCAAGUUUAAAAAGUUGUAGUAUUCCCCACAACAGGAAAUGGAUUACCUAAUGGAUUAGGUAAAAUGUAAAGAGCAAUACUGGGACGACGUUCUGAAAGUGGACCACUCACAGUGGAAAUAAUGUUUUUACAUGUUAUUCCACACUUACCACUUCAUUCCUCAUUUUGUUCUCCUCCCAUACAUAAACUUUUGAGCCUAUAACUGACACGAGCUAGCCUUGAAAUACUUCUUAUGUUUUGUGUUUUGUCUUUCAUUUACAACUACUAGAAUUUACAUAAGAUUACUAGAUUACUAUCAGUUUGUGGUAUUUGAUAGAUGCUGAUUUAGGACCUAAACUCAGGAUAGGCACGGACCGAUAAUUUUGACAGUAUAGUAUAAAGCAAAAAAAUAUUAUUUGUAGCUUAAAUGCAAAUGCCAUGCAGAUCACUGUUAAAUUGCUUUUUACACAAUAGUCAUACUGUGAAUUGUAUGCUCAUGGAUCUCUGAUACACUUACACUGCACAUUAGAGGUUUAUUGCAGUGGUGCGCUGAUGCUCAUAUACAUUAAACAUUACUGUGAGGCUAAUUGCUGUGAUACACUUAUUCACAUUGCAAAUUAUGAGUUUUAUUGCAUAGGAGCUCUGUGAUAGUCAUACACAUUGCACAUUACUGUGAGUCUGAGGGCCUGCUGCUUACACUAAAAACACUGAGACAGCCCCCAUACAGCCUUACCUCUUUGCCUAUUCUUCCAAAGACCCACUUUUUCUCUCCCCUUAUUUUUAUUUAUUUCUUUGUAUUGUCUACAGCCCGAUCUCUCUAUAAAAUGUCUGUAUGUAAAUAUUCCAGCUGAGGCAUCUUGUGGAGUGCUUAAAAUUAUAACUGGAUUACUGAAGAGUCCAGCGCUGCUGACAGUUCUGAGUUGAAUCGGUCUCUGCUUAUUUGCUUGCACAGACCAGCUUCUGUGUGGUGUAACUUGUGGUCCUUACCGAAAGCAGAUGUGAUUAAAAAUGUCAUUUUCCUCUAAUGCUCAGUAAGAAUCUUCGCAUGUUGCACCAUGAAGACUCUGGUCUGUGCAGAUUUAGAGACCUGGUCAGUGUGUCACUGGAAGUAUGCGUAGUCACACACCGGUGAUUGCAGUUACCCAAUGGUCUGGGACUGCCUGCUAUAUUGUUUGCUCAGGGGGACCCACAACUGAUGUAUGAAAAAGACAUCUGAGGCUGGUGAUAAUGGUUUUCUAUUUAUUAGACACUUUCGAUACAGGUCUAAGGUUAUUUACUAAAAUGUGAAUUAAACGUGAGCUUUAAAUUUCAGGUCAAACUUGGAAAAUAAUCUGAACGGUAUGCAUCCAGUUCAGUUAAAUAUGAAUUCACUUUGAAUUCUCGGUUUAGUAAAUAACUCUGUAAGUCACACAUUGGCACUAGCUUAUAUUACCAGACAAAUGACUAGAUGAUACAUACAAUCACAGUGGUAAAUAUGGUGGUAUGAAGCUGUACAAAAUUACUUCAUUAAAAAUAUAUAUAUAUAUGUAACUCUUACAUACGCCUGGAUCCAUACUAGUGGACAACCUUCACCUGAAGUGUAAAAUGUUUGCAAGAGACCGCUACUUAUUGAAAUACGUGCAUUCGAUACCAGUGGAGUGCACAUGGAGGGACACCAUUCAGAUGCCAUCCGCUGAUCUGUUGAAGAUGCACUUUUAGGACUAGUGUACUGAACCCUAGUAAAAAGCUUUCUAUUAAGGAAGCACAUUUUCUGUAUCACAUGAGUUUUUUAAGAUGAGGGGGUCACAUUAAUUACAACGCAACUUUAGAGAUGUUCACAGUUUCAAAGUGACAUAGGAAUCAAAACAUGAUUGGACAGCAUCAGAAAAAAAGGUAAGUUGCACAGCAGAAAGCUUUGAAGAGCACACUUUCAGAUUCACAAAACACAUUCACUGAAUACCUAACACUUUUUUAGUUUUCCUUUUUUAAUAGUGAUGUUCAGUGUUUAAUCUGAAAUUAGAGCUUUAUUUGAAAAGCCGUAGCAUUGAUUCCUAUUUGGAAGGUGCACAAAGUGUGUAUCUUAAAUGUAAAAAACACACACUGGAAACCAGUUCAAUUAUGUAAAAAUAACCCAGUGCAGUUGGUCAACAAAGAGUGGACUUCAUGUAGACAUCUUAGGGCAAAGCUUUAGUGAAGUAUUGGUUGUCAAUUAUACAUGGAAUAGAAAGGAUUUUAAAACAUUUGAUAGGGUGUUCUGUUUUAAUGUCUUUUAUAAUUCUGUAUGACUUUGGGAGAAGGCUACUAAUUAAAGUUAUUCACUUUAUAUAGAAUGACGUCUUGUGCGAUGUGAACAUAUACGUUAUGUCUCUUUUAUCAAGCAUCAGACAUUCAGACCUGAUAUAUAUGAAAUCAUGCACGCUCAGCCUAUGCUUAGAAUUGAAGUGAAUGCUGGCUUAGAUAUUGUGUUAGGACAAAUAUAAGGUGUUGGGAUUUAUGGUGCAGGUACACAAAUACCCUUGCUCCCACUUUUCUUUUGUGAGAUUUAGAGUUUUUUUUCCCCUUAACUGGGAACCCGCCCUUCCUAGGGAUUUUUAUUUUUUAUACUUUAUAUUUAUCGUCUGUAUUUAACUAUGUAUGUUCUGUCUGAAAAGUACAAUUAAAUAUAGAAAUCCACACAGCUGUGUCUAGCUCUAUCCUGGAACUGAGCACCUUGGUUCCUUGUCAGUAAUUGAUAUACGACACUCUAGCAUGUGUCAGUCGGCCUAGAGAGAGAAUUUUCCUCUUCCAAAUCAGUAUGUGCAUGGAGUGAACUGGGUUGUGUUGUCAGUUGGUACAUUUUUAAUAUUCAUGUAAAAGAAAAUUAAGCAUUACAUGAAAUAUUUAACACAAGCUAGAGGUCAAUUUCAGUGCCUUAAUCAUCAAUGGUUUAAUUUCAGAUGAAAUGCUGGUUGCCGUUAGUGGUCUGUAUUUUGUACCUAAACCUAUAUUUGGCAAUAUCUUUAAAUUCGAAUAAUUACAUUCUGUGCAUAUAAAAAGGAUGAAAGGGAUACACAUUUUAAUAGGUAAUUAAGCAACUUUAACUUAUGGUUAAAGUGUGAAACCCAUAUAAAUGAUGGCUAAAAUGUUAUCACACAGCAAAUCAUAUGACAUUUUCCUACAAAUCACUUAAACACUCCUUAAAAAGCCAGAUAAUGUAGUAGACAAUUAACUAUGAAGCACAACUUUCUGGCACAUAUUGAUAUUUUUCUUUGACUUUAGAAGACAGCAUUUUGUAGACUGAAACAUAAAUAUGCAAAUAAAGAUAAAGUGACACCACACUUAUACAUGUGCAAGUUCAACUCUGAUUCUAGAAAUCGAUCAUUUAGAAAUCCAAUUCUGGAGCAAAUGCUAUUGCUUGAGAUGUGGUCUGCUGCGUCUGUUUGGACUUUACAUCGAUAACAGUGGUGCUUUAAAGGUUUUGAAUCUUUCUUUUUUGUUUAGAAGAAAAUUAAAACUCAAAACCUUAAUUUGCAUAGUGUACACUUUGUUCUUUAAAGUUUACAUGGUAGGAUGUCCUUUAUUCACAAUGUACUGCCUUAUUUUAAAUAAAGUUUGUUUU